AGAGUAAAAUAGUACGUGAAAUUGUUGAAAGGGAAACGAUUGAAGUCAGUCGUACCGACGAGAAAUCAACUUAUCGUGUGCGAACUUGUGGGCGGGCGUGAGACGUUAGUUUCGGCCUCGCUGUUUGCAUGUUUGUGUGCUUUGGGUGUACUUUUUCGUAUGGUAGGCCAACGUCAGUUUCGAUCAUCAUAAAAUGACCGGCGGAAUGUAGCUUCGAUUUCGGUUGAAGUGUUAUAGCCUCUGGUAGAUGUGGUGAUUGGGACUGAGGAUUGCAACGAAUAUCCUUUGGGCUAUCCGUCUGAUCUCUGAAAGUUGCUCAGGUGCCGAAAGCGUGCUUACGGUUAUCUAAGUUAACGGUCAAUAGGUUAGAACGUGAUUACAUUCGUUAAGGACGUUGGCGUAAUGGCUUUAAACGACC
rnacentral:ncRNA from 2 species